AUUGAACGCUGGCGGCAGGCCUAACACAUGCAAGUCGAGCGGUAGAGAGGAGCUUGCUUCUCUUGAGAGCGGCGGACGGGUGAGUAAUGCCUAGGAAUCUGCCUAGUGGUGGGGGAUAACGUUCGGAAACGGACGCUAAUACCGCAUACGUCCUACGGGAGAAAGCGGGGGACCUUCGGGCCUCGCGCCAUUAGAUGAGCCUAGGUCGGAUUAGCUAGUUGGUGAGGUAACGGCUCACCAAGGCGACGAUCCGUAACUGGUCUGAGAGGAUGAUCAGUCACACUGGAACUGAGACACGGUCCAGACUCCUACGGGAGGCAGCAGUGGGGAAUAUUGGACAAUGGGCGAAAGCCUGAUCCAGCCAUGCCGCGUGUGUGAAGAAGGUCUUCGGAUUGUAAAGCACUUUAAGUUGGGAGGAAGGGUAGUAACUUAAUACGUUGCUACUUUGACGUUACCGACAGAAUAAGCACCGGCUAACUUCGUGCCAGCCGCCGCCGUAACAC
rnacentral:rRNA from 1 species